GCUCAGGAUGAACGCUAGCGGCAGGCUUAACACAUGCAAGUCGAGGGGUAGAAGUCUUCGGACUUUGAGACCGGCGCACGGGUGCGUAACGCGUAUGCAAUCUGCCUUUCACAGAGGGAUAGCCCAGAGAAAUUUGGAUUAAUACCUCAUAGUAUUAUGGAGUGGCAUCACUUUAUAAUUAAAGUCACAACGGUGAAAGAUGAGCAUGCGUCCCAUUAGCUGGUUGGUAAGGUAACGGCUUACCAAGGCUACGAUGGGUAGGGGUCCUGAGAGGGAGAUCCCCCACACUGGUACUGAGACACGGACCAGACUCCUACGGGAGGCAGCAGUGAGGAAUAUUGGUCAAUGGACGCAAGUCUGAACCAGCCAUGCCGCGUGCAGGAUGACGGUCCUAUGGAUUGUAAACUGCUUUUGUACGAGAAGAAACACUCCUAUGUAUAGGAGCUUGACGGUAUCGUAAGAAUAAGGAUCGGCUAACUCCGUGCCAGCAGCCGCGGUAAUACGGAGGAUCCAAGCGUUAUCCGGAAUCAUUGGGUUUAAAGGGUCCGUAGGCGGUUUAGUAAGUCAGUGGUGAAAGCCCAUCGCUCAACGGUGGAACGGCCAUUGAUACUGCUGAACUUGAAUUACUGGGAAGUAACUAGAAUAUGUAGUGUAGCGGUGAAAUGCUUAGAUAUUACAUGGAAUACCAAUUGCGAAGGCAGGUUACUACCAGUUUAUUGACGCUGAUGGACGAAAGCGUGGGGAGCGAACAGGAUUAGAUACCCUGGUAGUCCACGCCGUAAACGAUGGAUACUAGCUGUUGG
rnacentral:rRNA from 1 species